rnacentral:tRNA from 1 species
UUGAGUUAGUUUAGCUAAGAACAUCAAGCUGUGGAUUUGAAGGUAAAAUAAUCUUACUCAACU